rnacentral:lncRNA from 1 species
AGGCAAUCUUUCCAUCGAGAAGAUCUUCCACCACCACUUGUGGAGCCCAGUUCUUCAUGUCCGAUCAUUACGGUGGAUGCACAAUAAUUUGCUGUCUUGGUGCAGCAAGUUAAGAUUUUAACGAAGUGGCCACAGCCUCCAGCAAACUGUAGAACAGCAGUAGCAGCAACAGCAACCUCCGAUGGAGGAGCAUGCAUCGUGCAAAGUGCCCUCAAGGCACAGCCGCUACCCCUCACAACGAUCCCCCUCAUCGGAGAAGCAACGGACUCGAC